UCGAAGUCGGACGCUUAACCGACCGAGCCAUCUAGGCGCCCCAGUUGUUAAAGGAGCUUAUCGACAGCUGCCGCGAUGCUGUCGUCACUGUGAUGGACGCUAAUUAGGCUCGCGCUAAUCAUUCUGCAAUAUAUAUGGGCUUCACAUCGUCACUGUACGCCUUAAACUUAGAUGUAACGUGUCAGUUAUGUCUCAAAGUUGGAAAAAGCAAUUUGAACCGGGCUCUUUAAUUCCCAGGUACGUAUAUCUGAGCCGGGAGUCUCCCUUAUGCCCCAAGCGUGUCCAUACUAAUCUGCGGGCUCCCUCCCCAGGUGUGUCCGCCCUCGCAUGGCAGGCAGCCUCCCUAACUCAGUGCCUCUUCUGGGAAGUGGACCGCUCUCCCCAGGUGUGUCUCCGACCGGGAAUAUUUCCCCAGCACUCGAGGUGCUCUUGCCCCGAACAGCAGUGUCUAAUUCCCCAGAUGUGUCUGCUUGGACACACAGAGUCUUGCUAAGUGUACAGGUAGGUCUCCGUGAACGUAGGGCGUCCCCUCUGAGUCGAAGUGAUUCGUUGUCCUCCGGGCGUAUCUACAGCGACCUGAGGUCCACACACUGACACGGCACAUUUCCCUAAUUUCCCAGGUGUGUCUCCUCUGCCCUGGAUACUUCUCUCUCCGAGCUUAUUUACUCCAAGGGGAAACCGCCUAGCUCCCCGGGUUUAUCUAAUCUGUGACCUGCUGAUAAUGCAGACGUGCCUAUCCUUACAUAAGAUGUCUCCCUAAUACCCCACGUAGGUCUACACACUGUUAGGAUGUCUCCUUAAAUCCCAGUGUGUUUUCUCUGGCAACCCUGGAUGUCUCUGUAAUUGUCCAGGUGCAUCUCCAUUGAACUGGGAUGUCUCCCUUCUAGCCAGGUGCCUGCUCUACUUGGGACACCCUAACUCCCCAGGCAUGUAUUGAGGGACCCGGGGGGCCGCCCUAUUUCCCCAGGUGUGUGCCACAGCCUUAUUCCAAUUUCCCAGGUACAUGUCCCCUGACCCGGGACGUCUCUUUACUUCCGUCGAUCUGUCCACCCAGACGUGGGAUGUGUGCCUGACUCGAGUGUGUCUGCUCUGAACUGGGAUGUCUACCUAUUUCCAUAGUGGAGUCUGUUUUGGUCUUGAUGUUUCCUUAAUUCUGCAUUAUGUGUCUAACUUGACCUGGAUGUCUCCCCAAUUCCCCUUUUGUGUCUUCACCGAACUAGAUUUCUUAUGCCCCAGGUUUAUCUACCCAGACAUGAAAUGCUGCCACCGAUUCCCAGGUGUUUUUCCUCUGACCUAGGAUAUGUUCCUUAUUCUCCAGGUUGGCUUUCCCUUACCAGGAUGUCUCCCUAGUCCCCACGUGUACGUGCUCACACCUGGGCUCUCUCUUACUUCCCGAGUGCACACACUGAUCUGUCUGCCGAAUUCCAUAGGUGUUGACCCUGACCUGAGACGUUUCUCUUAUUCCAUGGAUGUGUUUUCUGUCUUGGGAUUUCUUGCUAAUUCCCCCAUGUGUUUACCGUGACUUAGGAUGUUUCUCUAAUUACCCAGAUGCUUCUACUUUGACCUGAGUGUCUCCCUAAUCCCCAGAUAUGAAUACUCUGACUUCCGAUGUCUCAAAGUAACCCAGAGUUCUACCCUGACCUGGGAUGUCCUGCAAGUUCCCCAGGUGAGUCUACCUGACCUGAGACGUUACCCAGUUCCCUGGGUAUAGACACCCUGACAUCACUGGUGUCCCUAAUAACCCAGGUGUGUCUCCCUAAUUCUCAAGGUGCGUGGACACCGAAAAGGGAUGUCACUCUAAUUCCCCAGUUGUAUCUACAGUGACGUAGUCUGUGUAUUCUUCAGCUACGGAUGCCUUUAUCUUCAGAGUCAGAAGAUAAUUCUCCAAAUGUGCCAACGGUCAAGUGGAAUGCUUCUUAUUCCCCAUGGGAAUGGGAUGCACUGACAUGGGAUGUCUCAUUAGAACCCCAAGGAACUCAGACUAUGAGAUCAUGACCGGAGCCGAAUUCGGACGCCGAACCAGCUGACCCACUCAGGCGCCCCGGUUGUUAAAGGAGGUACCUUAUGCUGCCAUGAUGCCGGUGUCACUCUGGACACUGAUUUUGUAUCUUGUACCCUUACUGGAUUCACUUAUCAGUUCUAAGUUUUCCUGUGGAGUCUGUAGUGUUUUCUCUAUAUAGUAUCGUGUCGUCUGUGUAGUGAAAGUUCCACUUCUUCCUUGCCAAUUUGGACGCCUUUUAUUCCUUUGUCUUGUCUGACUGCUGUGUCCUCCUUCAUUGGGAUUUUAAUAUCAGCUUCCAAUUUGGCCAACUUCUGACCUUGGAGCUCAUUAUAAAAAUCCUUCCAAAUAUCUUAUUUGUAGGUUUUAGCGGAGAUAAACAGUAAAUAUGCCUGGCAAUAGUACACUUUUUUUUUUUUUUUUGGCUUCUUUUAAACCAAAGGUAGAUCAAGCUACUCAAGCAAAACUAAUAAGCCCUUUAUGACAUAUCCACGGACUCGAGAUGUAUGUCCUAGGAGGGUGCAAAAGAUUUAGUCUUCCCAAGAUCCAGAACUACUCCCAAAGAUAGGCAAGAUCUAGAAAGUUCCCCUGAGAGCUGGCAACAGUCAGUAGGAUGGCAGCCACAAAGGGGGUGCAACCCGUAUGUCAGGCCAGCCAUAUUCUCAGGGCCCCUGACCUUGCACUUACAAGAAUGCACAGCCUGCAAGCCCCAGGCAGGCAGAAAGCCAAGCCAGAGGCCCGGGACACAUAGCAAGACAAAUAGGAAAGCAGGAGCUGUCCCUGGGAGGAAGAGGGUCAGUGACCAGAGGGGAUCCCCAAACCAAAUUCACAACAGUCUGGAUUUGAAAGUGAAGAGACAACAUGAUACUUGACCCCACUCUCUCUGCCGGCCUCUCCGCUUCCUCAGGGUCCUGCGUGUAGGCUCCGGAGCGGGUGCGGUGUCCCAGUGGGUCUCGUCUGGGUCACCAGAGACUGUAGACGAGGAAAAAUUAAUUUUCCCUCUGCCCUUUCUAGUGCGUUCUUGGCUGAGAACUUGUAACUGGACAAGCUGGUCUAGGUCACAGGUUUCCGACCACGGCCGCUGUGAUUCAGGGCUGCCCUUAGACACUGCCAUUUCUGCCACUGUGUAUGCGCUCCGGAACCCCACUUCCCAUAUAAAGAGCUGGGGCACAAGAUUAUGGAGCUCUCAGCUCUCUAGAACUUUAGGUCUCAUGUCUCCUCGGUGUCUGUCUGGCAGAUCUGUCGCUCUUACCUUAGGGUCACACCAAGACCGCCAGUAGUUCCCCAAGUGGAAUGGUGGGCCCACCAGCAGAACCCAACACAUCAAGACUGUGGAUAACGCAGGGCUUAGAGGCUUCGGGUCCACGUAGAACCACCUGCCAGCUCCAGCUGGCCCACUAAAUCCUGGCCAGGAAAAGCCCAUCAGACCCGGGAGCUCGAACGCAAACAGAGUAGAGCUCAGAUCCAAGAGGAACUUCCCCGCGGCUGUGGAAACAUGAGAAAGACCAAGAACUAAAAGGGCUCAGCAGGCACCCAUGCCCACGUUUCUUGUCAUCCCCAAAGCCAUUAGCAGUCUGAAUCCCAUCCUCGUCAUCAACACUGUUAAAAGAAAUUUUGGGGGCGCCUGGGUGGCUCAGUUAAGCAUCUGACUUCAGGUCAUGAUUUCCCCGUUCGUGGGUUCGAGCCCCGCAUCGGGCUCUGUGCUGACAGCUCAGAGCCUGGAGCCUGCUUCAGAGUCUGUGUCUCUCUCUCAGAGAAAACAUUUUCUAGUCAACUUACGGAUCUAGCUGGCUUCUAUUUAGUGAUUCAUGAGUCAGGCAGCAUGCAACCUAGCGAUAGAAAGGAGCACCAAAGAGCUGCACAACGCACGAGAUUCUUACAGACCACGUGAGCAGGAACAGGCAGAUUCGCUGGGCAUCUGCUGAUGGGUAAGCAUGGUUACUCUUGUUAUAUGGGCCCCAGGGAAGUCUCAGAGCAGGUCGGGUACCUUGUGCGGAGCAGGUGAGAGCUGAUUGGCUGACCUAGGCCUUCCUCUUCUGGGAGAGCAGAGCAUAGAAAUGUAAGUUUUGGUUUGCUGACACGGGGCUUAACAUUAGUGACUCCGUUUUGGACGUAAUCUGGUUACUUUAACGACAUUGACGUGAACUACAUCCAUAGUAGUUCCCUAAGCGUGGUGGCCCUGAUCUGGAUUGUAUCUCAAGUUCCUCUGGGAAGUAUACCUGAGCUGGGAUGUCUCCAAAGUUCCCCAGUUAGGUCUAACCUGAUCUAGUAUAUGUCCCUAGUCACCGAGGGUGUGUAUACUGACAGUGGGUGUCUCCCAGUUCUCCAGGUUUGACUGCCCCAACGUUGGAAGUCUGCCAAUUUUCCCGUGGGUCUACACUGAUCAAGGAUAUUCCCCUAAAUCUCUAGGUGUUGACCUGGGAUGUGCAAUUCCUCCUCCGUGUGUCCACUGACUUGAGAGGUCUCGUGUUUAUUGGUACCACUCUGGAAGUCCCCUCUCUGCUCUGUUGUAUUCUGACGCAGCACGUCUGCUUACUUCCCCAAGUCCACCUACCCUGACCUUCAGGGUCUCCACGACUCCUGAGAUGUUAGCUCACCUGGACCGCUGACUAGUUCCCCAGAUGUGUCUACAAAAAGCGGUAUUUUAUUGUAAUAUACCAGUUAUGUCUACACUGACCUGAGCGGUCUUAAUUCCCCAAGUGUGUCAACACUAACCUAGUAUGAUUCCAUACAUUCCCAGCUGUGUCUGCCUCGACAUUGGAUGUCUCCACUUGACCUGCUGUGACUACCUAGUAUCUCAGGCAUGUCCACUCUGACCCGGAACAUCUAACGCCUCAGAUGUGUCCACGCUGAACAGGGAUGGCUUCCUAAAACCCCAGAUGUAUCUAUCCUGACCCGGGAUGUGUCCCAAACUUUCAAGAUUCCUCUCUCUGGACCUUGAACGUCUCUGUUCUUCAGGACUGUCCAGCGUUAUCCUGGGAUGUAUGCCUUUGUCCUUCGCCGUGUCUACUGCGAAUCUGGAGGUCUCGUUCCUCAGGUGUUCUGAUCUGUGAUGUCUCUAAGUCCCCAGGCGUGUCUGCAUUGAUUACAGUGACCCUUUAAUGCACCAGGCUCUCCCCAGGUCCCCAGAUGUGUCUACCCUGACACGUGAUGUCCCCUGAGUUCCCCUGUUUCUAUUUUGAUGUGGAAUGUCUACAGUAACCUGGAAUGUCUCCUUAA